UUAAUUUUAUAACUAUAAUUUAAUGAGACAAUAUUUCCUCACAUAUAUAGUUUAUUUGUGCUAAUCUAUUUUUCUUUUAAUUUAUUUUUUUCUUUGAGUGUUAUUUUGAUUUUCAGUUCAAAUAAAUCCAAUUGGAACUGUUGACCGAAGAGAAAGACCUUCAUCUGUCUUGUUGUUCUCAACCAAUCCGAUUCCAAGGUUAAGGAUGGCUAACUGUGUGUCAGAUGCUGUACAUGUUGAAGAUGGAGUUGAUCACACCCAUUCUACUAUUUAAUCAUAUGAUGACGAUAAUUUAAUCAUAUGCUCAGUUACAAGUUGAUGUCAAAAUCCAAAUGAAAAGGGCCACUUGGUCACUCGGACACCACAUGCUCACAUGCGAGGAUGAACGAGCUUGCUUUACUUUUGUUUUCGAGUAGCAGCUGGGGGACAUAGAGAGAUUCGGUGGGAGAAUGAGUGGGGUGUGCUGAUUAGAAUAGAGAGAAGUGUUAGCUGAGGCUGACUCAUUAAAGCCGAUGGGAAGAGAACGUGAACCGAAUCUUGAGUGGAGAGAAAAGAAGAUGGUAAUGAUUCCCUUGAGUGGAGAGAGUGGGACGGCUGGUGUGCAAUUCUUGCUUUACUUUCGAGGGGAGAGCAGAAUUUUGGUGGGAAUUGCUUUACACACGGCUACUUGAGUGGAGAGAGUGGAUGAGUGGCUUGGUUCGGCUGGAAACUUUGAGGUAAGUUGCAGCUGGGGGACAAGGAGAGAGAAAUCGGUGGAACAAAAGAAAAGAUGAUGAUGUUCACAUAGUAAAUUCUAAAGCUGCUGCAGCAAGAACAUUCGGAUCUCACACCAUGGGCCACAUGCAGCACAUGCCAAAACCGAAGCUCAGCUCAUCAUGCAUGACAACAAUUCAGACAUCAUUCGGCAGGGGCCACGGCUUGAGUGGAGAGAGGCUUGAGUGGAGAGAUGAGUGGAGAGACCGAGAGCAUGAUUUUGCUUUCCAUUUCUCUUUCGUUUGAGUGGAGAUUGAUAAAGUGGAGAGAAGCACUAUACGGAAAGUGGUAGAGAGGGAGAAAUGAGUGAGUGGAGUAAGUGAUAUGUGCUGAUGAUUACGGCUCAUAAUUAAAGAAAAUGGAUGGUAAUCGUAACAGCAGGGGACACGAGCAGCAGCAUUUCUUUUCCGUUCAACUCGUGGAAGAAAUUAAAUUGGAAUUUGAGCCGUGUAGCUGGAUUUUAUUGUGCUUAAAGAGGCAGUUGUACGUGCAUAUUUAUAUAUAUUGCUAGACGAAGGCACCGACUGAUUGAUUAGAAUAGAAAGAAAAAAAAAAGAAUUGAGAGAGUGGGUCGAUGAGAGAGUGGGGUCGGUUUGGCUGAAUGCAUGAAUAUAGUGAGAGUGGGAGCUUACGGAAGAAAAUAAAACAGAAAAGAAAAGAAAAAAAAUAGUUCAAAGGUUGGUGGAAUGAAGUGGAGACCGAGUGGGGGCUUGCCUUGCUUUCAUACGGAGGCACAAAUGAGUUGAAGAGCACAUGGCAGCAAAUCAGAUCACUCAACACAGCAAUCAUCACUCGGCAAUUCAAGUCACUCAGCUUUACAACACAGCAGCAAUCAUCACUCAAAGAAACACAAGCACAUGCAUCACAGCAAACACACUUCAUUCACUCAGCAGCUUGCACAUAAGCAUGGCUAUAAAAGGAAAGAAGUUUGGAAGGAAGAGAAUCCCGUAGCAAGUUUUAGUUUGAAGUUUUUGUUGUUAUUUUCUUUCCUUUUGUAGAGUAGUGUAGUUUAGGUUUUUUUAUUUUUCUUUCAUUUGUUUUCUUUUAUUUGUUUAAGCUUAGAGUGUUUGGUUUUGAAUUUUAUUUUCUUAGAGUGUUUAAGUUUAGAGUGUUUAAGUUUUAUUUUAUUUUCUUUCGUUUUAUGUUAUUGUGUGGUUUCAUUGUAUUUGAUUUUAAUUUUAUUCGGAACGAUAUUUCCAUAGUAUUUGUAUUAAAUAUGUUUGGCUUGGGAUUCAAUGAGUAGCUCAUAACUGUUUGGGGUUGGAUUUUCUUCAAGAUUAUGGAUUUUAAAUGAUUAACUUGAUAGAUUAUAUUUCAUUUUACAAUUGGGAAGGAUUAAAAUUCUAUGUUCUUGAAUUUGAUCAGUCGUAGACGUGAAGGCACGAUUGAUGCUUGAACUUGUAACAAGAUUUUGAUAGCUUUCUUGCACUUCUACAAUUGAUAUAAAAUCUGUCAAGCACCUUGAUUAUACUGAAAAAGCGUGCUUAUUGUUUAUUUAACCGAUCAUAAUCUCUUGAAACGAGAAAAUGGUUGAGAGAAAAAACUUAGAGGCAAAACCAAUUUCAAAUUAGAAAUGAGCGAAAAUUGCAUCCCGAGUAUUUGUUCUAUUGUUUUUCCAAUUUCAACUUUUACGCAUUUUCCUUGGGUUGUGGAAUGAGAUUUAAUUUAUUUUAGAUUCUAGAUCGUUGCAAUAUUUUGUGAUUGAUUGAUGAUUUCACUAUAUUACUAGUCGGAUUUAAAUUAAAAAUAGAUUACGGCUCUUGCUCUUGUUUUGUUGUUGACGUAAGGCACAGCAAAAGCUUGAACGGAACGUGAUUUGUUUAGGAUUCAAAAACAAUAGAUUGAAGCUCUUGCUCUUGUUUUGUUGUUGACGUAAGGCACAUCAAAAGCUUGAAAAUUAUCAAGGCUUCUUUCGAUUGUUUGUUAAUGUGUGUUCGGCUAGUAAAAUAGAAAAUCCCUUAGGAAAAUAUUGCAACAAAAACUUGAACUUAAUCUUUUUAUCUUCCGUUUAUCAAUGCCUUGACUGGAUUGUUAAUCGAGAAAAUUAUCUAGAAUCCGAAAUAAAGAGAGUCUCAAACCCAACCCAAGUUUUCGUUAAUUUGUUUUUCAGAAACUCCAAUUUCAGUUUCGAUUGUCUUUUUGCAUUUCUUUUUAUUUUCACCUCUUAUAAUCGACACCAUGUUACCCAAAAACCAAAAAAAUCUCAUAAAUGCUUUGAUAACCCAUUGUCCCUGUGGAAUACGAUCCUGGACUUAUCCUUGAUACAACUUGACACUUCUGCACUUGGAAGCACAUUCUCGAGACGAGUCAAGUUUUUGGCGCCGUUGCCGGGGACAACUGGUGUUUAUCAGAGCAUUCAUCUACUGCUGAGAGGACGUUCGUGGAGCUGUGAAUCUCUUCACAGCCUAGUUCAAAUAAAUCCAAUUGGAACUGUUGACCGAAGAGAAAGACCUUCAUCUGUCUUGUUGUUCUCAACCAAUCCGAUUCCAAGGUUAAGGAUGGCUAACUGUGUGUCAGAUGCUGUACAUGUUGAAGAUGGAGUUGAUCACACCCAUUCUACUAUUUAAUCAUAUGAUGACGAUAAUUUAAUCAUAUGCUCAGUUACAAGUUGAUGUCAAAAUCCAAAUGAAAAGGGCCACUUGGUCACUCGGACACCACAUGCUCACAUGCGAGGAUGAACGAGCUUGCUUUACUUUUGUUUUCGAGUAGCAGCUGGGGGACAUAGAGAGAUUCGGUGGGAGAAUGAGUGGGGUGUGCUGAUUAGAAUAGAGAGAAGUGUUAGCUGAGGCUGACUCAUUAAAGCCGAUGGGAAGAGAACGUGAACCGAAUCUUGAGUGGAGAGAAAAGAAGAUGGUAAUGAUUCCCUUGAGUGGAGAGAGUGGGACGGCUGGUGUGCAAUUCUUGCUUUACUUUCGAGGGGAGAGCAGAAUUUUGGUGGGAAUUGCUUUACACACGGCUACUUGAGUGGAGAGAGUGGAUGAGUGGCUUGGUUCGGCUGGAAACUUUGAGGUAAGUUGCAGCUGGGGGACAAGGAGAGAGAAAUCGGUGGAACAAAAGAAAAGAUGAUGAUGUUCACAUAGUAAAUUCUAAAGCUGCUGCAGCAAGAACAUUCGGAUCUCACACCAUGGGCCACAUGCAGCACAUGCCAAAACCGAAGCUCAGCUCAUCAUGCAUGACAACAAUUCAGACAUCAUUCGGCAGGGGCCACGGCUUGAGUGGAGAGAGGCUUGAGUGGAGAGAUGAGUGGAGAGACCGAGAGCAUGAUUUUGCUUUCCAUUUCUCUUUCGUUUGAGUGGAGAUUGAUAAAGUGGAGAGAAGCACUAUACGGAAAGUGGUAGAGAGGGAGAAAUGAGUGAGUGGAGUAAGUGAUAUGUGCUGAUGAUUACGGCUCAUAAUUAAAGAAAAUGGAUGGUAAUCGUAACAGCAGGGGACACGAGCAGCAGCAUUUCUUUUCCGUUCAACUCGUGGAAGAAAUUAAAUUGGAAUUUGAGCCGUGUAGCUGGAUUUUAUUGUGCUUAAAGAGGCAGUUGUACGUGCAUAUUUAUAUAUAUUGCUAGACGAAGGCACCGACUGAUUGAUUAGAAUAGAAAGAAAAAAAAAAGAAUUGAGAGAGUGGGUCGAUGAGAGAGUGGGGUCGGUUUGGCUGAAUGCAUGAAUAUAGUGAGAGUGGGAGCUUACGGAAGAAAAUAAAACAGAAAAGAAAAGAAAAAAAAUAGUUCAAAGGUUGGUGGAAUGAAGUGGAGACCGAGUGGGGGCUUGCCUUGCUUUCAUACGGAGGCACAAAUGAGUUGAAGAGCACAUGGCAGCAAAUCAGAUCACUCAACACAGCAAUCAUCACUCGGCAAUUCAAGUCACUCAGCUUUACAACACAGCAGCAAUCAUCACUCAAAGAAACACAAGCACAUGCAUCACAGCAAACACACUUCAUUCACUCAGCAGCUUGCACAUAAGCAUGGCUAUAAAAGGAAAGAAGUUUGGAAGGAAGAGAAUCCCGUAGCAAGUUUUAGUUUGAAGUUUUUGUUGUUAUUUUCUUUCCUUUUGUAGAGUAGUGUAGUUUAGGUUUUUUUAUUUUUCUUUCAUUUGUUUUCUUUUAUUUGUUUAAGCUUAGAGUGUUUGGUUUUGAAUUUUAUUUUCUUAGAGUGUUUAAGUUUAGAGUGUUUAAGUUUUAUUUUAUUUUCUUUCGUUUUAUGUUAUUGUGUGGUUUCAUUGUAUUUGAUUUUAAUUUUAUUCGGAACGAUAUUUCCAUAGUAUUUGUAUUAAAUAUGUUUGGCUUGGGAUUCAAUGAGUAGCUCAUAACUGUUUGGGGUUGGAUUUUCUUCAAGAUUAUGGAUUUUAAAUGAUUAACUUGAUAGAUUAUAUUUCAUUUUA